UACGGGGGGAGCAAGCGUUGUUCGGAUUUACUGGGCGUAAAGGGCUCGUAGGCGGUUUGUCACGUCGGGCGUGAAAACUCAGGGCUCAACCCUGAGCGUGCGUUCGAUACGGGCAGACUAGAGGUAUGCAGGGGAGAACGGAAUUCCUGGUGUAGCGGUGGAAUGCGCAGAUAUCAGGAGGAACACCGGUGGCGAAGGCGGUUCUCUGG
rnacentral:rRNA from 1 species